GGGCUGUCCUGUUUAUAUCAAAAAUACUGAAGGACAUAAGCUAAGUACUAGGUUAGAUAAAUGCAGGUUUGUAGAUUAUCCUAAGAAGAGUAUAGGAUACUAUUUUUACCAUCCUACUCAAUAAAAGAUAUUUGUUAGUAGGCAUGCCACUUUUUUUGGAGAAAGAGUUCAUUUAAGAAGGGGGCAGUGGGAGGACAGUUGAACUUAAGGAAGUUCAAGACCUACAAUCUAUCCAGAAGCAACAUGUGAAAAGUCCACAAGUUGAUCCUCAACCAGAUGUGCCCAUUAUUGAGGCACAGCCACAACACACACCUCCUCU
rnacentral:lncRNA from 1 species